AGGUAGCAAAGUUAUUCUCUGUCCAGGGGCUUCUACUGCUUCCUUAUAUUCACCUAACUGUCUCUGAUGUAAGAUUAAGAACUGGAAUGUGUCUUCCGGAAGGAACACUAAAAGGAUCUGAAGACACCAGGGAUGCAUGCACAGAGGAAAGACCAUGCGAGGAUACGACAGGAAGGCGCCCAUCUGCAAGCCAAGUGGAGAGGCCUCAGAAGAAACCAAACCUGCCGACUGACACCUUAAUCUCGGACUUCCAGGCUCCAGCUAACGAGCAAAUAAAUUUCUGUUAUUUAA